rnacentral:rRNA from 2 species
UGCAAGUCGAGCGGACUGAUGGGAGCUUGCUCCCUGAAGUCAGCGGCGGACGGGUGAGUAACACGUGGGUAACCUGCCUGUAAGACUGGGAUAACUCCGGGAAACCGGGGCUAAUACCGGAUAGUUCUUUUCCUCGCAUGAGGAAAAGUGGAAAGGCGGCUUCGGCUGCCACUUACAGAUGGACCCGCGGCGCAUUAGCUAGUUGGUGAGGUAACGGCUCACCAAGGCAACGAUGCGUAGCCGACCUGAGAGGGUGAUCGGCCACACUGGGACUGAGACACGGCCCAGACUCCUACGGGAGGCAGCAGUAGGGAAUCUUCCGCAAUGGACGAAAGUCUGACGGAGCAACGCCGCGUGAGUGAUGAAGGUUUUCGGAUCGUAAAGCUCUGUUGUUAGGGAAGAACAAGUGCCGUUCGAAUAGGGCGGCACCUUGACGGUACCUAACCAGAAAGCCACGGCUAACUACGUGCCAGCAGCCGCGGUAAUACGUAGGUGGCAAGCGUUGUCCGGAAUUAUUGGGCGUAAAGCGCGCGCAGGCGGUCUCUUAAGUCUGAUGUGAAAGCCCACGGCUCAACCGUGGAGGGUCAUUGGAAA